rnacentral:rRNA from 1 species
CCUACGGGCGGCAGCAGUGAGGAAUAUUGGUCAAUGGGCUUACGCCUGAACCAGCCAAGUCGCGUGAGGGAAGACUGCCCUAUGGGUUGUAAACCUCUUUUGUCAGGGAGCAAUUGGCGCUACGUGUAGCGUUAUCGAGAGUACCUGAAGAAAAAGCAUCGGCUAACUCCGUGCCAGCAGCCGCGGUAAUACGGAGGAUGCGAGCGUUAUCCGGAUUUAUUGGGUUUAAAGGGUGCGUAGGCGGAUUGAUAAGUUAGAGGUGAAAUGUCCGAGCUUAACUCGGGAACUGCCUCUAAUACUGUUGAUCUAGAGAGUAGAUGCGGUAGGCGGAAUGUAUGGUGUAGCGGUGAAAUGCUUAGAGAUCAUACAGAACACCGAUUGCGAAGGCAGCUUACCAAUCUAUAUCUGACGUUGAGGCACGAAAGCGUGGGGAGCAAACAGGAUUAGAUACCCUUGUAGUC